rnacentral:rRNA from 1 species
UACGUAGGGUGCGAGCGUUAAUCGGAAUUACUGGGCGUAAAGCGUGCGCAGGCGGUUCGCUAAGACAGAUGUGAAAUCCCCGGGCUUAACCUGGGAACUGCGUUUGUAACUGGCGGGCUGGAGUGUGGCAGAGGGAGGUGGAAUUCCACGUGUAGCAGUGAAAUGCGUAGAGAUGUGGAGGAACACCGAUGGCGAAGGCAGCCUCCUGGGCCAGCACUGACGCUCAUGCACGAAAGCGUGGGGAGCAAACAGG